UCAUUAGUUUUUUAAUUGAAAGCUUGUAUGAAUGGUUUGAUGAGAAAAUUACUGUUUCAAUUUUAAUAUUAUAAUUUUAUUUUUAAGUUAAAAAGCUUAAAUUUAAUUUAAAGACGAGAAGACCCUAUAGAGUUUAACUAAAAAUUAAUUUAAGAAUUUUAGAAUUUUAUUUUUAUAAUUUGAUUUAAGUUAUGUUGGGGUGACAAAAAAAUUAAAUAAACUUUUUUUAUAUUAAAACAAUUUUAAUUGAAUAAUUGAUCCAUAAAAAUGAUUAAAAGAAUAAAUUACCUUAGGGAUAACAGCGUAAUCUUUUUAAUAGUUCUUAUUGAAAAAAAGGUUUGCGACCUCGAUGUUGGAUUAAAAUUUAUUUUUGGUGUAGGAGCUAAAA
rnacentral:rRNA from 2 species